UCUAUCACUAUUAAUACGAGUACUUAGAAAAGUUAAUAAAAAAUUGAUAAAUAUAUUGCACAGUAUUUUUGCUAGCUUUAAAUAAAUAAUAUAUUUGCAAAAAGUAGAAGUCAUGUGGAAACGUAGAUAUCAUAAACUCGUUUGGCAGCAAGGAGUAGCAGGGCAUCGUCAGCUGAUACGAGUAUCAAAAAAAUUAUUAAGAUUAACAGUACAGCGCUUGUGACUGACUAGCAGAGACAAGUUGGAGUCGGCAAUCAGUUUGAAAACGACUUUCAUCCGUAACAGACAUGUUAACGGCAAGCAUUCGAUUACCUGAGACGAAGUAAAAUUUACCUUACAGUAAGGCAAUAGUAAGCUGAAGGAAAGUUCAAUGCAGGUGCAUUACAAAGAGUGGCAGUGAAAAUUGCGAAAACCGAAUUAAUAACAUAUUUUAAAAAUAAAGUGGACGGUGAAAUAGACAAGUGUGGAAAGCUGCGUGAUAGUGUACGCCGGUAGCUGCAGCAUCUUCAAAUGCUGGGUAAGCAAUGGGCAAAGAGCCGAGCAAACAAACAAAUAAACACUAAGUAAUGCUUUUGCGUUACAAAGGAACGUAUAGAAAAUAAAAGUAGAAAACUAAGAUUCCACAUAAUAUGUAUGUAGUGACAAAAAGAAGCAAAGGUGAAAUGUGCAGGUGAACAGUGAAUUUCAGUCAACAAUUGAGAAAUGUUGCAUUAAGAAAGGUGAUAAUGUGUUCGAAAGUUCUUCAUUUGACUUCCCAGUACAACAACUGGUGCGUGACAACUGAAUUAAUGAAAUAAACGCUGCGUAAUUGAUUAGGUUAAAAGCUGUGAGAAUUUUAAUUAUAUAGUACACAAAUGUAAUCGCCGCACAUUAUUUAAAAAACCAUAAGAUCACCUAAAAAUAUUUCAUGUAUAUGAAUAUUAGGUCAACAAAAGAAAAAUAUAUUGGGUGUACGCUUAGUAACUCAAAUUGGAGAAGAGCAACCAAGUUUAAAAAAAUAUUUAUUGUCGGGUUAUAUAAAACGAGAUCGUCAUAUAAACCCAAAAGAAGUAUAGAAGUAAAAGCAAUAUAAGUUUUAAAUACUUGAGGUGUUAACGAAAUGAAAAAAAUUAAUGCUAGUAAGUUGGACACAACAACAAUGUUGACAUCAUUGACAGCUAAUGGAACCAGUACAAAACUGGAACAGCACACCAAGCCCAUACUAAGUCCAACACGAUCCCUUGACGAAGGUUUUGAAAGUGAUCCGGAUCGGGUGUCCACCGAUUCGGAGCAUCAAACAAGUGGAACGAAUUGCAGUAGUGGUAGUAGCCAUAAUGACAAUAGUCAGAACAACAAUAGAAAUAGUGUUGCAGAAAAGCACAACAGCGGCUCGACACUAGCUCAACUGUCGUCAGCGGCCACGGGAGGUCUAACAGCAUCGACAGCAUCAGUAUCAGCGUCACCAAUGACAACAAUAGCAAGCUUGACUGCCACAUCUAGCGUGUCCACAACGGUAGCUCAAAAGGCAAACAUAAAAACAGAUUUGCAUAAACUACGCUUGCUAACAAUGGUCGUUCCACCGUCUCAAAUUGCACGCCGACAGCCGGCGAUUAGUGCGACACCUGCUGCAACUCCUGCAAACUCCAACAACUAUCAAUAUGCUGGUGCUGACGCGAAGUCGACAUCCGACACGUCAAUGGAAACGUUUCUAAAAGACCAGCAUUUGCAACAGCAGCGACGUGGCUCAGCAGACUUAGCGCACAAUAUCAACUAUCCGAUCGAUGUGACAACAUCAUCAUCUUCAACUGCUUAUGUCCCUAACAACAAUAACAAAAAUCAUUUACUUAUGCAAUAUCGUACUGGAUCCAACUUGGCUGCUCUCACCGCCAAUGUGGCACGCGCCAGCGGUGCUUUAACCAAAUCCACAAGCAAUGGAAGCGGCUCACCGUUGCCCUCACAUCGUCUACAAUAUCAAAAGCAACGUCAACCAAUGGUAGCCUCUGCCGCCGGUCGUCAGACCGUACACAAUCAUCGUUACGCUGCCAGUGGUACCGGCAAUGGAGGGGGAAUGACUAGUGGAUUUCGACGCGCACGCACACGUGCAAUGUCUCCCACAGUGGUAAAUAGUCUAUCAAGCAACAACCAUGGCGUCAGCAACAAUACAGGAGCCAGCAUUGGUGGUAUGCAAGUUCACACUUCACGAAGCCAGCUUCUUUCACGCAACGCCAAUAUGCGUUCACAUUCGGUUGAUGCCGUUUCACGCCAUCGUAAUGGGUAUGACCCGACCAAUGCACUUAUUCUUAAGCAUGAAGGUAGUGGUGUCACAAGUUCGGGCAAUCAUAGCGUUCAUAGCGCUGGUGGUACCAGCAACACCGCCAGCAAUACACGAAUGAUGAACUACAAAUACUGUAGUGGGAGUGUGGGAACCGGCACUACAAGCGCUGGUCAAGCUCUGCUAGUACAGCCUAUUUCUAGUGCAACUUUGUCGACGAGCACAGCAGCAGUUUCACUCCCAGCCGCUACUACAGUUCUUAAUCCAGCGAAUGCUGUUGAUGCCGCUGCUGCGUUGGUCGCAGCAGCUGGUGGAUCACCAGUUAUCGCUUCGGCCACCAACAGUCUGUACACGUUCUACCCAGCCGAAGGCAAUUUGCAAGUAUGGCAAUCUGAGUACGGCGACCUCACGUACAAAUCAUCGCGCAAUCAGCACACGCACAAGGCGCCGGUUUGUUGGACACAAUCGAUACCAAGGCAAACAAGACGAUACAUUACUCCAGCAACCGCAUCCAAUGGCAGUGGCGCUGCCAGUAUAAUCUAUCCCUCCACGAAUGGACAAGUGUACAGGGUGAAUAAUGUACCGUUAUCGCAGGCAAAUGUUGUGAACAUUUCCUCUUGUAACAACAAUAACAAUGGAAGUGCGGACAAUGUAGACGGUUAUCACAGCGAGAACAGCAUGGGUAAUAGGGACAUAAACUCGCCGAGUGGAUUCUCACAAAAGUUAAAAGAAUUAGCGGCAUCAGCAGGCCUCUUAACACUAAAGCCGCGGCAUCCGCUGAAACCCGUAAUAAAGACGCGUGGCUCACCAGGAUCCGAAUUUCCGAAGAAGGUCACAUUCAGUGCCUUCGCUACCGUACAAGUAUUGUAGUGUUCAGGCAAAGCUAAGUCUUAGUUAUGGCCAAAAUGUUGGUUGGGAUGAUUCCAUAUGUACAUAUAUAUUGAAAAUUCCAAGCUUGGCCAUUGGCGCCUCGCUAAGUAACAUUAUUGUUGCUAUUCGUAUUUCCAAUUACACAAAGCUUACAGAUGUACGAGGUAUUGGUUCGAAGUAAAAGUCUUACGUACAUAUGUAUGUAUGUAUGUACUUACCUAUGUAUAAACAGAUUUAGUGAGUAAUAUGUAAUAUAUUUGAAUUGUUUUUGUUGUUGUUAUUUAUAAUUAUUCUCUCAAAGGAUGAGUUAAAAUAUACAAUAUUUACUUACGAAUGCUAGGAUGAUUAAAAUUUAAAAUUAUCAAUAACCUGAAGCACUUUGAAUUCCCACACCCACAUCACAUAGUCGGACAGGUUCAAAGAAGAGUGAAAAAUAUGCUCCGAUACAAUGUGUGAAUUUUAGUAUAUUCAUUAAUUUGUUGAUUAUUGUAAUGUGUUAUAUUUGUAUGUUCAUAGACUAAGUGUUUUUAUUACAAGAUAUCGAAGCCCAAUUUUGGAUCAUUGCGGAGAUUACUUAGAGCACCCAGUUGCAUACAUGUGUGUAAUUAAAGAAGCUGCUGGAUAAACUAAACUAAUGCGAAUAACAUGAAUUGCUUGCGUUUGCUGCAAUAUCCAUUUGACUUAUAAAAAUGAUCGUUUUAAGUAGUGAACAAAAACACUAUAACAAAUAACUCUGCAAGUUAAUUUGUUCACAAUUUAUUAUGUUGUAAACGUGUUAUAACAAAUACAAUGUAUUUAAAAGUACAUGCAUAUGUACGUUGCGGUAUCCUUAUUUAAAACAAAUCAAGUUUUGCAAAAUGCCGAUUGGAUUGUUUCUCUAGUCAUGUAAAUACUUAAAGUGUAAAGAAAAUGUAGUUAAAACUUGAAUUUCCUUGAAACUGUUUCUUGAAUUGUAUCAGGUAAUGUAAUACUUUGUAUUCGCUAUAAUUGACGACCAACUCAAAAAUUUACAAUUUACAAAUACAGCUCCUGAAAUAACAUUUUACAAUUAUUUCAAAUAAGCACAUACAAAUUUGUUUUUAUUUAAAAAUGUUACCAUUCCAGGGAUGCGUUAUUGAAUAUGUAUAAAAUCAGUUAAAUAAUCUUGAAAUAAACAUCAUCAACUUAAUUUAAAAACAAUUGUAAUAUAUUUACAUGAAGUGUUCAUAAAUAAUUUAGA
rnacentral:misc_RNA from 1 species